UGCGUAGGCGGCUUGGUAAGUCACGUGUGAAAGGCCGGGGCUCAACCCCCGGAUCUGCAUGUGAGACUGCCUGGCUCGAGCACGGUAGAGGCGGGCGGAAUUCCUGGUGUAGCGGUGGAAUGCGUAGAUAUCAGGAAGAACACCGGUGGCGAAGGCGGCUCGCUGGGCCGUUGCUGACGCUGAGGCACGAAAGCGUGGGGAGCAAACAGGAUUAGAUACCCUGGUAGUCCACGCCCUAAACGAUGGACACUAGGCGUCGGGGGGAGCGACCCUCCCGGUGCCGUCGCUAACGCAAUAAGUGUCCCGCCUGGGGAGUACGGCCGCAAGGCUGAA
rnacentral:rRNA from 1 species